GGGAUAACACUUAGAAAUAGGUGCUAAUACCGCAUAAGCGCACGGUUCCGCAUGGAACAGUGUGAAAAACUCCGGUGGUAUACGAUGGAUCCGCGUCUGAUUAGCCAGUUGGCGGGGUAACGGCCCACCAAAGCGACGAUCAGUAGCCGGCCUGAGAGGGUGAACGGCCACAUUGGGACUGAGACACGGCCCAAACUCCUACGGGAGGCAGCAGUGGGGAAUAUUGCACAAUGGGGGAAACCCUGAUGCAGCGACGCCGCGUGAGUGAAGAAGUAUUUCGGUACGUAAAGCUCUAUCAGCAGGGAAGAAAAAAAGUCCUUUGGACUUUGGACGGUACCUGACCAAGAAGCCCCGGCUAACUACGUGCCAGCAGCCGCGGUAAUACGUAGGGGGCAAGCGUUAUCCGGAUUUACUGGGUGUAAAGGGAGCGUAGACGGCAGCGCAAGUCUGGAGUGAAAUGCCGGGGCCCAACCCCGGAACUGCUUUGGAAACUGUGCAGCUCGAGUGCAGGAGAGGUAAGCGGAAUUCCUAAUGUAGCGGUGAAAUGCGUAGAUAUUAGGAGGAACACCAGUGGCGAAGGCGGCUUACUGGACUGUAACUGACGUUGAGGCUCGAAAGCGUGGGGAGCAAACAGGAUUAGAUACCCUGGUAGUCCACGCCGUAAACGAUGAUUAAUAGGUGUCGGGGGGCCAAGGCCCUUCGGUGCCGCCG
rnacentral:rRNA from 1 species